rnacentral:tRNA from 1 species
UCCUGGUGGCUCAGCAGUAAAGAAUCUGCCUGCAAUGCAGGAGACUCGGGUUCGAUCCCUGAGUCAGGAA